rnacentral:lncRNA from 1 species
CUCAUGAGAUCACAGUGGUAACACCAAGGACAGUGGGGGAGAUGGGCACAGGCGCUGCGGCCCGACCCUCAUGAGAUCACAGUGGUAACACCAAGGACAGAGGGGGAGAUGGGCACAGGUGCCAUGAUCCGACCCUCAUGAGAUCACAGUGGUAACACCAAGGAGAGUGGGGGAGAUGGGCACAGGCGCUGUGGCCCGACCCUCAUGAGAUCACAGUGGUAACACCAAGGACAGAGGGGGCGAUGGGCACAGGUGCCAUGAUCCGACCCUCAUGAGAUCACAGUGGUAACACCAAGGACAGAGGGGGAGAUGGGCACAGGCGCUGCGGCCCGACCCUCAUGAGAUCACAGCGGUAACACCAAGGACAGAGGGGGCGAUGGGCACAGGUGCCAUGAUCCGACCCUCAUGAGAUCACAGUGGUAACACCAAGGACAGAGGGGGAGAUGGGCACAGGCACUGCGGCCCGAUCCUCAUGAGAAGUGGCGCAGUGUUACGUGAAGGACGACUAUGUGUGGAUGUGGCUCUGACAGGCUCCUCGUGGAGCAGAGAUAACCAGCUCUCACAAGUCUUCAUCCUCCUGCCGCCGGGACCUUGGGGGGUCAGAACAGAGCAGGAGCUGCGGGAGAUCAAGGUGCCCACUGGUUCCAGAUUUUGUCAUGCCGAUGAGGAGACUGGGGCUUAGAGAAGCCAAGAAGCAUGGCGUGGCCCGCAGCCUGGAAUCCCUGGAGCCAGCAUUGGAUGUGGGUCUGCUUGGGCCAGAGUCCUGAUCUAAUUCACGCUCCCUUCCACCUGGUGCUUAGGAGCCAGAGUGGCCAUCCCUGGGGAGAGGAAGUGGAUAAGAUAAGCUGCCGGCAGCCAGGGGUCCAGACUUCCCGGCGGGGCAGGGGAAGGAGACAUCACUGGGAACAAAGCUUUCACCGCUGGCCCGAAUUACCUGGUCCCCCUGACAGCCAAGUGGACGGCGGCUGCCGGGAGCGUCGGUGUGAAGUGUGUGCACGCUGGGGAACAAGACACAUCGGCAGCUUCCACUGAUGGGAAAAUAAUGAGGCCACAUCGCCUGGCUGAAAAAUGUACCUGUCUUCAUUAUUCCGGCAGAAAUGAAUAAAAACUUUCCAUUUGAGGAAUGGAGCCAAUUUCCAGCACGGCGCGUGGGGGGAGGUGGGCGAAGAGAGAGCUUGGUUUGCAACUAUGUGUCUUCUCAGCAUGGCUGCAUGGGAGGCAUCCAUGGAAGAAACAGGCGGUGUUCAGAAGUGAUGUGGGAGAAAUUCAAGGAAAUAUGCCAUUCUGAGUUCAGCCUCCUCUGAACCUCUUCUUAAGUCUCAAAUACUGCAUGAGUGUCAUGUGAUGGCUGUAACCCCAGGAACCGAGCCCGGCUUCCAGUAGGGAAGCAUGACGGGAGGUCAACAGCUGGCCCCUCUAGCUUGCCCCCCGGGAGAGGGCUUGGCUCCCCUUGGCAAGCCGAAGGGGCUUCCACGGAUCCAGGGGCCAAGAAGACUCCUCGUGACCACGCACGUGGGGAGACAGCUCCACACAGAAACCCUACAGAUGUUUUGCAGUCCACCCAGCGGCAAGAAGGUGCAAGUGAAAUUGAGUUUUCCGCAACCCCAAAGCUCUAAGGAGAGGGUGUGAGCUGAGAUUAAAGGGUGGGUGUCUGGGCCUCAAGGGUGCCCGGAGUGUGUGAGUCAUGUCUGCUUGGAAUGGGGCCCGGGAGCCUUCCUCUCUCAUCAGAGGAAGGAGUGAGAUGGUCUCCCCUUCCCGAGGACAUUGUCAGGGGAGACCUCUUGCGUUCGGCGAAUUUUUACUCAAAAGAACUGACCUAUCAUAUCUCUUGGUUGUGUGUGCCUGUGGACCUGGGCUCGUGGGGAGGAAGGGAGCCUCUGGAGGGUUUCUUGAGGGAGGGGCUCUUGGUCCAAUUUGAAAAUCUUAAGCAUGAAUCAUUAGGAAAUCCCACACUAGCUAGGUGCAUAAAGCAGAAAGGAAUCC